rnacentral:lncRNA from 1 species
CUCAUACCUCAUAAGCUGAGCUUAAAAGCGGCCUGCGAAUCUUGGUUCUAUUACUUAACAAUCAAGUUUGAACAAGUGGAAUGUCAAUUAUAGUAGUUGUUGUUUGUUCAAAAAAAUAGCUAGAUACAUUAACAUCACUAUGGCACAUAUUUAACAACCAGCAAUGGUGAAACCAUCAAUCAUACAUUUGACAUCAAAUAUAUCAAGUUAUUCAAAAUUAAAUUUACACUUGGCACCC